UUAUUCUUCCUUUUUUUUAAAAAGGACUUUUUUUUCCCAUGAGGCAUUUUAUUUGUAAAUAUGUAUUACAUCUCUAGAAAAAGAAUCCCAGGAUUUUCCCUCCUGUGUUUUCUCCUUGCUUCUUCGUGGUCCAUGAUGUCAACUGCUUUUGUCAGUACAAUGAAACCAAACUGGUUGGAUGGAAACAGAUUAUUCUGCCAUUUUUCUAGAUUGUUAAGUUGCACAUCAAAUCUGGGGCUGAUCACUCCACACUUGUUUGGCCUGCCUGUGAGGCUCACAACAGUUUUCCUAGCUCUGUUAUCAUCAAUGAUUUCAAAUUCGCCAAUGUUAUCUUGCUUCAUCGUCACAGUCAGAAACCGGAUGAUGACUUUGGAGCAUGGUCUAAUAAGAACCUGGCAUUUGCCUCUUUUCAGCUUUAUUGAUGCUCUUGAGAGCAUUAGCCGGAUGUUCAUGUGCACAUUUGUGGUGUUGCAGAAAGGUGGCAGAAAGAGAAACACAGGGACAUUUUUAAAAUAAAAUCUAUUUUAUUCUAA